rnacentral:rRNA from 1 species
UACGGAGGGAGCUAGCGUUAUUCGGAAUUACUGGGCGUAAAGCGCACGUAGGCGGCUUUGUAAGUCAGAGGUGAAAGCCUGGAGCUCAACUCCAGAACUGCCUUUGAGACUGCAUCGCUUGAAUCCAGGAGAGGUGAGUGGAAUUCCGAGUGUAGAGGUGAAAUUCGUAGAUAUUCGGAAGAACACCAGUGGCGAAGGCGACUCACUGGACACAUAUUGACGCUGAGGUGCGAAAGCGUGGGGAGCAAACAGG